ensembl:lncRNA
ACUGAAGAGAAAAGUGCUUUGGAGCAAAGAGAAUAAAGAACCUUUUAUCCAUGUGGGCUCUCCCCAACCCCCCUAGCUGCCAGCCUACAGCCCAGCCAGGCAACAUGUGGGGGAGUUCCCAGCUAUCUGACAGAGGGAGAAUAGAUGGGAAGAGAAAGAUCCAUUGUAUCCAUGCAUCUUUGUUUCUAAUCCCUGGGCUGUAUUCAGAGGGUACAAUAUUGAUCAAAUGAUCCUUAGAGGUCCAAACAGAUAUGCUGACUCAGCAGCCAAUAUUUGUCAUUG